rnacentral:rRNA from 1 species
CAGUAGCCACGGGAAUACGGAGGGUGCAAGCGUUAUCCGGAUUUAUUGGGUUUAAAGGGUCCGUAGGCGGAUCUGUAAGUCAGUGGUGAAAUCUCACAGCUUAACUGUGAAACUGCCAUUGAUACUGCAGGUCUUGAGUAAAUUUGAAGUGCCUGGAAUAAGUAGUGUAGCGGUGAAAUGCAUAGAUAUUACUUAGAACACCAAUUGCGAAGGCAGGUCACUAAGAUUUAACUGACGCUGAUGGACGAAAGCGUGGGGAGCGAACAGGAUUAGAGACCCCCGUAGUCCCUGUCUCUUAUAC